GAUUCGAUAAAUAUCUAACCAACAAAUCACCUAUUGCAUAUGACAUCCACUAAACUCAAUGCAUUAGAAUAUCCUUUAGCCUAAGAUGAGCACGCAUUCCUCAUUAUGCAAUGCAAAAUGUACUUAUCAAACGAAUUAAGCCGCUCAUCCCCUAAUCGCACGUGUGGCUCACAUUUCCAAGCAUUCUGUUCGGCCGCUACAUGGUGGCUUAACCAUUCCAACCUCGUACACAGAGAGCCAACUCACGUAUUCCAAAUCCUGAAACGCGAAUUUCAGCCUAUAGAUAGCGUACAUGUUCUCUAGAAUAGUGUUUCAACUCUCCACCAUCAUCGCUGCAAGUAUCGGCGCGAAUCGUUUUCGGGCCCACCUGUAAUAAUUGGUCCUGCACACGGGUCGUUCAUGCACUCGACGGCGGUUACGUUAUGUAAAUUCCACGAUCAUACGCCGCGAUACAGCGGAAUUAACGUGUACACGCGCCUGAGCAGCCGGCCGAUGUAAUGGCUUAAGCCGUUUACACGUCGUUGGACCGUGCGGAUCUCUAUGGGACGGGAUGGUGUCCAUCUCGGCCUCUCAUCGUGUUCAAUAUAUGCGAAUGCGUUUAACAGAGUCGAUGGUAAAGGAAUAGAAAAGAUGUCGAUAGAUAUAUGGAUGACUUUUUCUGACGAAGAAAACUUGAAAAGAAAUAUUUCCGAAACUCACUAUUGAA